UAUUUCCCUUUUCCAUUCUCUCCUUUCUUCUCCUCUUUCCUCUUAUUGCCUUCGUCUCCCCAUUUCCACUGUCUUCUCUUUCUCCUUCAUUCUCCUCUCCUGCCAUCUUGUCAGGAAUUCUCAGUGUUCUCAAAAACACCUUUGUUACCUCCUUAUGGCCUCCAGGGAAAGAGAUGGGGGUCUAAAAAGAUUUUUCCCUGAAUAGAGUCUAGAAGGAUCUAGAAGUACAGAAUGCCAAUACAUCGGCUUUGGGAAACAGAUUGGUAUCACCUCAUUCAGUUUCUUCCCAUCUUCAGCUGAGAGGGAGGCUGAGACAAGGCUCUGUCAGACUCCAGCAGGGCUUGGGGACAUCCCUGUGCUGGACUCACCAUCAUCCCUCCUGUCUGGAGCCUUCAGACUCCGGCUGCCUACUAUGAUCUCUCUGUGCCUGACAGUGAAGGUGCCAGGCCAGCCUUAGAGGGAGGAAGCAAGCCACUGUGGACCAUCCAGGGACCCUCUACAUGUUCAAUGGAGGAUACAAGGAUAAAAGAGGCUUUUCCCUCUGACAGAGGCCACAGGGACCUUUGAGGGAGGUGGUCAAAGACUAGCUCCAAACCUCUUGGCCCAUUUCUCCCCAUCUCAAGUCAGGAACAAGAAGACUUAAGGGAGAAAGAGAUUCUAAGCAUACUGGCUGGUUGUUCCCUGUGUGGAAUGGUCUCUUGCUUUGCUCAUGGACAGACAAGCGGUUCAGGCUCAGGAUCUGGGACAAAUUCGAUCUGAUGGAGGAGGCAGGUUCCAGAUUGGGGAACAUGGACAGAGGCGACUUCCCAGCUGCUUAUUCUCAGCAGAGGCCACAAAGAGCCAUCACUCUCCUCAGCAGAUCACCUGUCACAGCCUACACGUGGACCUAGGACAGAGGCAAGAGUCUGCAAUUACCUGAGACCUCCAGAUGGGGAAAUCUGGGGCAUGGGGCCAGAACUGGAGCCACGGUUGGAUAGAGAUGUCCUGAGUGGCUAGGCCUCUGCUGAGCCUGCGCUGGGGAGAGCAAAUGGCUCCACAGGAAUCACUUCUAGCUUCUCAGGGGUCUCUGAUCUGUCCUACUCAAGGAAAAGUUGUUCCAACCUUCCACCUCGUUUCCAGGAGCCUAGAAAUGUCAACCUCCUGUUCCCUGCUCAGUCCCUGUUGCCCUCUGGGCUCCGGAGAACAAUCCAUAGCAAAUGUCCUUUGUGAUCACAAUCCUGUUUGAAAGGUGGGAGGGAUGAGGGUCGCAGGUUCCCCAGCUCCCAGCCCCUUCCUUUCAGGAGUGUCAGAUGGAAGUCUGUGCUAUGAGAGGACCUAGAUGGAGGCAUCCUGCCUUUUCCCUCCUCCGCCUUCUCUUCCAGCCCCCAGCAACGUUCUGCCCUAUACCUGAGCCUUUCCUGAGUCCCUAGAAAUCAGGGAGACAAGCUGCCAGAGUCUGCAUCCAUUGUCCCCAUGCUCUCUUUACCCUGAUGACAGGAGAGUGUCCAGGCAGGACACCUGGGCCCACUCCCACUUCAGACCCAUCCAUGGACUACAUUCAGGUUACCCAGUCUGCCUGUGCCCAUGUGUGGGCUCAUUCUCACUAACCACUCUGGGCCUCUUUUCUCAAGGCCAGGAUUGCCCUGGCCUUCUGUGUUCCUGGACCAUCCUUAAGUCUCUGUGUUGCUCAAGCUAGUACUUCCAGAACCACAGGGACCACUAAGGUGGUCUAGAGCCACAUCCUUUCUCAGGGCCGAGAGCCUGAGAAAGUCACUCUACCUUUCCUGGCACUUAGGCAGGGCUUGGCUGCAGGACUUGGAGAGGCUGGCUCUUGCUGUAGAAUGUGGAGGGACAGCUGAACCUCAAGUCACUGAUGAACACAGACCUCCAUGUCCUGUAU